rnacentral:rRNA from 1 species
UCGGGAAUUUUGGGCAAUGGGCGAAAGCCUGACCCAGCAACGCCGCGUGAAGGAUGAAGUAUUUCGGUAUGUAAACUUCGUAAGAAUAGGAAGAAUAAAUGACGGUACUAUUUGUAAGGUCCGGCUAACUACGUGCCAGCAGCCGCGGUAAUACGUAGGGACCAAGCGUUGUUCGGAUUUACUGGGCGUAAAGGGCGCGUAGGCGGCGUGGUAAGUCAUCUGUGAAAUCUCCGAGCUUAACUCGGAACGGUCAGAUGAUACUGCUGUGCUAGAGUACAGAAGGGGCAAUCGGAAUUCUUGGUGUAGCGGUGAAAUGCGUAGAUAUCAAGAGGAACACCUGAGGUGAAGACGGGUUGCUGGGCUGAUACUGACGCUGAGGCGCGAAAGCUAGGGUAGCAAACGGGAUUAGAUACCCCGGUAGUCCCUGAGCGGGCUGGCAAGGCGCAU